GCCUCUGUGACUCAGUUGGUUCGAGCACUGCACCGGAAUGGCAGGGCCGCAGGUUCGAAAUCUGCCAGAGGGC